rnacentral:rRNA from 1 species
AGGAGGUUGGCUUAGAAGCAGCCAUCCUUUAAAGAGUGCGUAAUAGCUCACUAGUCGAGUAUCUCUGCGCCGAAAAUGUACCGGGGCUAAAACAUAUUACCGAAGUUAUGGAUUUGUACAUAAGUACAAGUGGUAGGGGAGCGUUCUAAGGGCGCUGAAGGUAGAUCGUGAGGACUACUGGAGCGCUUAGAAGUGAGAAUGCCGGUGUGAGUAACGUUAGGAGGGUGAGAAUCCCUCCCACCAAUUGACUAAGGGUUCCAGGGUACGGUUCGUCUUCCCUGGGUUAGUCAGGACCUAAGCCGAGGCCGAAAGGCGUAGGCGAUGGACAACAGGUUUAUAUUCCUGUACUGGCUAUAUAACUGAUGGAGUGACGGAGAAAGCUAGUAAGAGCCCAUUAUUGGAUUUGGGUCUAAGUACAAAGGAUAAUGCGUUAGCAAAUCUGCGACAUUAUAAAGUCUGAAGUACGAAUGUGAAGGUUCUACGGGACCGAAAUCUUAUGACGCUAUGCUUCCAAGAAAAACUUCUAAAGAUAUUAUAUAGUCACCUGUACCGAGAACCGACACAGGUGGUCAAGGAGAGUAUCCUAAGGUGAGCGAGAUAACCAUGGGUUAAGGAACUCGGCAAAAUUGCCCUGUAACUUCGGGAUAAAGGGAGGUCUCUUCGGAGACCCACAGAAAAAAGGCCCAAGCAACUGUUUACCAAAAACACAGGUCUCUGCUAAAGCGAAAGCUGAUGUAUAGGGGCUGACGCCUGCCCAGUGCUGGAAGGUUAAGAGGAUUAGUUAGAUGGACGCAAGUCGAUAACAUCAAAGCUUUGAAUCGAAGCCCCAGUGAACGGCGGCCGUAACUAUAACGGUCCUAAGGUAGCGAAAUUCCUUGUCAGGUAAGUUCUGACCCGCACGAAAGGCGUAAUGAUUUGGGCGCUGUCUCAACCAUGGACUCGGUGAAAUCUUAAUACCUGUGAAAAUGCAGGUUACCCGCGACAGGACGGAAAGACCCCAUGGAGCUUUACUGUAGCUUGAUAUUGGAAUCAGGCAAUGUAUGUAGAGGAUAGGUGGUAGACUAUGAAGUAUAGACGCCAGUUUAUACAGAGUCGCCCUUGGAAUACCACCCUUACGUUGUUUGAUUUCUAACUUGUUCCCGUGAUCCGGGAAGAGGACAGUGUCUGGUGGGCAGUUUGACUGGGGCGGUCGCCUCCCAAAAAGUAACGGAGGCGCCCAAAGGUUCCCUCAGAUUGGUCGGAAAUCAAUCAAAGAGUGUAUUGGUAUAAGGGAGCUUAACUGCGAGACCAACAAGUCGAGCAGGUGCGAAAGCAGGGCAAAGUGAUCAGGCGGUAGAGAAUGGAAUUGCCGUCGCUUAACGGAUAAAAGUUACCCUGGGGAUAACAGGCUGAUACCACCCAAUAGUUCAUAUAGACGGUGGUGAUUGGCACCUCGAUGUCGGCUCGUCACAUCCUGGAGGUGGAUUCGCUUCCAAGGGUUGGGCUGUUCGCCCAUUAAAGUGGCACGCGAGCUGGGUUCAGAACGU